UACGAAGGGGGCUAGCGUUGCUCGGAAUCACUGGGCGUAAAGCGCACGUAGGCGGAUUGUUAAGUCAGGGGUGAAAUCCUGGAGCUCAACUCCAGAACUGCCUUUGAUACUGGCGAUCUCGAGUCCGGGAGAGGUGGAGUGGAACUGGCGAGUGUAGAGGUGAAAUUCGUAGAUAUUCGGAAGAACACCAGUGGCGAAGGCGGCUCACUGGACCGGUAUUGACGCUGAUGUGCGAAAGCGUGGGGAGCAAACAGG
rnacentral:rRNA from 1 species